rfam:Jatropha curcas cultivar GZQX0401 scaffold42_53, whole genome shotgun sequence.
GCUCCCGUAACUCAAUUGGUUAGAGCGUUGGUCUUAUGAGCCAAAGGUUGUGGGUUGGAGUCCUUUUGGUAGAA